GUGGAUUAGAUACCCCGGUAGUCCACGCUGUAAACGAUGAGUGCUAGACGGUGGAGGUAUUGACCCCUUCGCUGUCGCAGUUAACGCGUUAAGCACUCCGCCUGGGGAGUACGGUCGCAAGACUAAAACUCAAAGGAAUUGACGGGGGCCCGCACAAGCGGUGGAGCAUGUGGUUUAAUUCGACGCAACGCGCAAAACCUUACCUGGGUUAAAUCCGCCGGAACCUGGCUGAAAGGCUGGGGUGCCCUUCGGGGAAUCGGUGAGAAGGUGCUGCACGGCCGUCGACAACU
rnacentral:rRNA from 1 species